rnacentral:rRNA from 1 species
UGAGGAAUCUUGCGCAAUGGGCGAAAGCCUGACGCAGCGACGCCGCGUGGAGGAUGAAGGUCUUCGGAUUGUAAACUUCUGUUAAGUGGGAAGAAAGACGCAGGUUUAAUAGACCUGCGGGAUGACGGUACCAUUAAAGAAAGCACCGGCUAAACUCGUGCCAGCAGCCGCGGUAAUACGAGUGGUGCAAGCGUUAUUCGGAAUGAUUGGGCGUAAAGGGUGCGCAGACGGUAUGCUAAGUCAACUGUUAAAUUUCCCGGCCUAACUGGGAGCCUGCAGUAGAUACUGGUAUGCUUGAGGGCGGAAGAGAGGAGUGGAAUUCUCGGAGUAGCGGUAAAAUGCGUAGAUCUCGAGAGGAACACCAAUGGCGAAGGCAGCUCCUUGGUCCGUACCUGACGUUCAUGCACGAAAGCGUGGGUAGCAAACAGG